CCGACGCCCACGCCACCCCGGUCCCUGGGCCCGGAACGCGGGCGCCACUACCCCCACCCCACCCCACCGGAACGAUGUGCACGGCCGCCGCCGUGAUGUCCGUCAGCGCGAACGGAUCGCAGCGCCUCGGCGUCGUGGCGAGCGGCGAAGGCGCAGAGCCCGCCACCAGCGCGCCCCGGGGUCGGCGUCGCCUCCAUGAAAGCUGCAAUGAGGAUUUGGAAAGAUGCUGACAACUAAGGGAUGCAGUUACGAUCUCACAAGAAGCACAAGCGAGGGACUAACAACCAGCAAUGGUGGUGGAGAGGUGUUACCUUAUUAUCUAACAAGCUUGAAUAAGAGACAGAAGAUUUGCAGGGGUGAGGGAGAGGCUAUUAAUUCAUUGCCUUCAGGUACUAGUUUUGACGGAGGACUUUGCAGUAGUGUCUCUGCCCAAUAUGCCUCUGAACGCCUCAGUGAAGAAGCAGUGUAAAAAAUGUCCCGAAGUGUCGUCUUACUUUCAUUGUUUCAUAAUAAGUUUGGCUGUUAGAUGCAUCUGGAUUUUCCAAAUACUCAUUUUGACCAUCAACAAUUAACUGUUUGAAUGUAUAUCUUUUGUAGGAGGCAUCAAUGUGUUUACAUGCUCAGGCUAUGGCUGGGCAGAAAACCCGAAACCCGAAACCCGAGCCCGAAAAACCCGAGCCCGAACCCGAAAAACCCGAGCCCGAAAAACCCGAACCCUAAUCCGGGUUCCAGCCCACGGUACCCGAAAUUAGUACGGGUAGUUCGGGUAUUGGGCCACGGUACCCGAAAUACCCGAACCACCCGAAAAUAACCCAGCCCAACUAUAUUUGUCCAUUGUUGUUGCAGGCCACCAGUCCACACUUGCAGCCCAGCCCACCACGGCACCAUCCAGCCCACCAAGGCGGUAACCCUAGCGCCCCCACGAACUCCCAGACCCCUCCCCCUCCGCCGCGCCGCUGCCUGCGUCAGGCCGCUAGCCGCAACUGCUCCAUCAGCUCAGCCUCUCGCCCUCUCCGCAUCUCACCUCACUAGCAUCUCCCUCGCGCCGGCACCGCUGCGCUCACCUGCGCGGCUGCGCUGCCUGUUGCGCUCGCUUGCUGAGCCCACCACCCCCGCCUCGCCUUGCUCAGAUGGUGCCGACUGCUGGCUCCUGCCUCUGGGCUCGCCUGAGGUCGAGAAGCACGCAGAGACAGGGCGACGAGCGAGCGCAGCAGCAGCCUGCAGGUAGGUCUGACACACAUCGGCGAGACCAACAACCAGGAAGCAAGUUCUCUUUAGAUCUGCAUCCCUUUUUUUUAAUGCGAUGCUCUGCUCCUAUUCUCGAAUGUUGUAUGCCUUGUUGGCUUGUUCCAUUCAUGGAUGAAAUCAUGCUUCGUUUGUUGUAUAAGCUUGUUCAGUACAACCGACUUGGAGUCUUGGAGAUUUAAGUUUUUAAUGUCUCGUUGUUUUGGAAAUCAUGUUGCUUUGAGUUUGCUAGCAAUCAGUUUAAAGAAAUCGGGCAGUUCGGGUAUUACCCGAACCCGAACCCGAAUUUUCGGGUACCCGAAAUGUCGGGUUUCUAUUAUUCGGUGCAAAUUUCGGGUAAUAAUUAUCAAAACCCGAAAUUUCAAAAACCCGAAAAACCCGACCCGAAAUUUUCGGGUUACCCGAAUGCCCACCCAUAGCUCAGGCGUUCCUGUAGAUCGCAAAUCAUCUCAUAUAAAAGUACUGACCUCAGCAAAAUUGGCUACAACUUUGGAGGAUAAAAGAAAACCUGGCUGUAGCAUGACGAUUCAUGUGCGUGAUGUAUCCAAUAACAUUGCCAGAGGGUUCUUGCAGCACUAUGAUUUAGACCUUGGGAUUGCUUUUGUCAAGGUCGUGAAGUUCCUUGAUGUCAGUGUAGUACAUCUCCGUCAUGGAAUGGAAUUUCUGCCCCAUGGUAACCUUGUAGUUAUACAGCUUAUUGACUCUGGUGCAUUAACACCCUUGGUGUUGUCUAAAGAUUCAAGUGCUUCUGAAGAUGGCAAAGAGCUUUGUAAAUCCUUGAAGGCUGGGUAUGGCGCGCUACUUUUUGAUGGUGACGGAAAUUUUGCUGGCAUGAACCUUCUUUUGGAUACAGGAAGCUGGUCUUGUGUGCAAAUGAGUGUAAUUAUUGAACAAUUGGAGCAAUUUGAGAAAAGGAUUAAAUUGCAGAUGGCCAGAAGGGCUGAUAGACUCAGACGUAAAGCUCCUUGCACACGCGAUGGACGGAGACGAAAUGGAAAACACUAUAGCAUCAAUCCGAAAGCAAUUGAACUUACUGCCCAGGAUCCGUUGGAGGAUGUUGACUCCUUGGGUUAUCCCAUGCAACCAGAAACUGCAAUGGAGGGUGGCAUGGUUUUGGUUAACACUUUUGAAGAGAAUUUUGGUGACUUGUUUGAUUCUGGUGAAGGUGUCUGGAGCGAGCUCAGUAAAACAGUUGCAGAGAAUUUAUCCCGAAGUGUUGUCUCCCUUGCUUCAUACCAUGAUGAUUUUACCGUAACAUGUUCUUUGCUUUUCCAUAUUGGUACUCGGUAAUGAUUACUAACCAUGAAAGUUAUGUCAUGAAGGGAAAACGAGGUUUUUCGCUUGUUCAGGCAUGGUUAUAGACUGGAAGGGGUGCAACACUAUUCUCACUUCGGCGAGCUUGGUUAGAAAUCGUUUUGAUGAAACGAAGAUUGACGAAGACCUCAAGAUUGAUGUGCUGCUUCCAAACAAACUACACACUGAAGGGACAUUGGAACAUUAUAACUUGCAUUAUAAUGUCGCUAUUGUCAGUUUCAAGGGUUUCGGUGAUCAUUCUCCUGCAAAUAUUAAUGUUUGUGGAGCCCUUCGUUUUCCACAAGUUGUAGCGGUAGGGUGUUGCUUUGAAAUCAAGCAUGUUAAUGGCCACAAGAGGGAGACUCACUGGUUGGCAGAGCAGAUUUGAUUGUGAUGCUAUUCAAUAUUCCACUUGUGAAAUUACUAAGGCUGGGAUUGGAGGUCCACUUGUUGAUUUUGAAGGGAAAUUUGUUGGCAUGAACUUCUAUGACUGGAAACAAGGAACUCCAUUCCUAUCACAAGCUAUGAUUGUCCGAGUCCUGGCACAUUUUGAGAAGAAAGGGAUUGUUGAUGUGGUUGACGAUUAUGGUUACACAAACAGAUGGCCUGUGCCCAAGCCAUUAUGGCGUUGCCCCAACGAGCAUCAUCCUGAGAACGAGGAGAAAGAAGAGUUCACAGUUCGUGUCCCUGGGAGUUCAAGGGUGCGCAGAUAUGGACACUUUUUCGGGGAACUCGUCUGCCUAAUCUAGAUAGUAUCAUCAAUGCAGUCUGUUGAGUAGUUCGCGAUCUCCUUUAUUGUCUAUCAUAAGCAGUGUUGUUUCUGCUCAUUAUAUGUGCAAAAGAGCAAAGAAAAUCGUAUCUUGGUUAGUAUGCACAAUCCAAUAGAAUGAACAUGAAUAGGAUGGAGAGCUAUUACUAUUUUUUCCUGUAGAACUAUUAUUUUAUUGAGAAGGAAGAAAUAUGUAGAAAGGAGAGGCCAAGAGAACUCUCGGCUUUGGGCGCUGUUUGGGCAAAUUAUUUUGGUGGAAUAGCCAUUUCAUCCCUCAACUAUCGACAAAGUUCAGUUUCAUCCUUAAAUAAACCAUAAAAAUAGCUGUUUAAGUCCUCGUACUUUUAUUUUGG